AAAGACUUACUUCAUAGUGAUCCAUUUCUAUAGUCAAGCUCUUACCUGAGACACUUCACACUCACGUGAAUGCAUCGACAACCACGCAUGAGUGAGUGCUGUGGCGCUGGCACCCUGAACUGUGAGGCUGGUGCGAUGGUAGNUUGAACCAUCAAGCCUUCGAUGAUCGUUCGAUCCCCUUUCACGGGGGACGAGUGGGGUGUUUGUCGCUUGUCUUGACGAUGGUUUUA
rnacentral:snoRNA from 1 species